rnacentral:rRNA from 1 species
CCUACGGGGGGCUGCAGUUGGGAAUCUUGCACAAUGGGGGAAACCCUGAUGCAGCGACACCGCGUGGAGGAUGAAGGUUUUCGGAUUGUAAACUCCUUUUUUCGGGAAAGACUUAGGACGGUACCCGAAGAAUAAGCACCGGCUAACUACGUGCCAGCAGCCGCGGUAAGACGUAGGGUGCAAGCGUUAUCCGGAUUUACUGGGCGUAAAGAGCGCGUAGGCGGAUCGUUAAGUGUAGAGUGAAAUCUCCAGGGCUCAACCCGGAAACUGCUCUG